AGAGUUUGAUCAUGGCUCAGAUUGAACGCUGGCGGCAGGCCUAACACAUGCAAGUCGAGCGGUAGCACAGAGAGCUUGCUCUCGGGUGACGAGCGGCGGACGGGUGAGUAAUGUCUGGGAAACUGCCUGAUGGAGGGGGAUAACUACUGGAAACGGUAGCUAAUACCGCAUAACGUCGCAAGACCAAAGUGGGGGACCUUCGGGCCUCAUGCCAUCAGAUGUGCCCAGAUGGGAUUAGCUAGUAGGUGGGGUAACGGCUCACCUAGGCGACGAUCCCUAGCUGGUCUGAGAGGAUGACCAGCCACACUGGAACUGAGACACGGUCCAGACUCCUACGGGAGGCAGCAGUGGGGAAUAUUGCACAAUGGGCGCAAGCCUGAUGCAGCCAUGCCGCGUGUGUGAAGAAGGCCUUCGGGUUGUAAAGCACUUUCAGCGGGGAGGAAGGCGUUAAGGUUAAUAACCUUGGCGAUUGACGUUACCCGCAGAAGAAGCACCGGCUAACUCCGUGCCAGCAGCCGCGGUAAUACGGAGGGUGCAAGCGUUAAUCGGAAUUACUGGGCGUAAAGCGCACGCAGGCGGUCUGUCAAGUCGGAUGUGAAAUCCCCGGGCUCAACCUGGAACUGCAUUCGAAACUGGCAGGCUAGAGUCUUGUAGAGGGGGGUAGAAUUCCAGGUGUAGCGGUGAAAUGCGUAGAGAUCUGGAGGAAUACCGGUGGCGAAGGCGGCCCCUGGACAAAGACUGACGCUCAGGUGCGAAAGCGUGGGGAGCAAACAGGAUUAGAUACCCUGGUAGUCCACGCCGUAAACGAUGUCGAUUUGGAGGUUGUGCCCUUGAGGCGUGGCUUCCGGAGCUAACGCGUUAAAUCGACCGCCUGGGGAGUACGGCCGCAAGGUUAAAACUCAAAUGAAUUGACGGGGGCCCGCACAAGCGGUGGAGCAUGUGGUUUAAUUCGAUGCAACGCGAAGAACCUUACCUGGUCUUGACAUCCACAGAACUUUCCAGAGAUGGAUUGGUGCCUUCGGGAACUGUGAGACAGGUGCUGCAUGGCUGUCGUCAGCUCGUGUUGUGAAAUGUUGGGUUAAGUCCGCAACGAGCGCAACCCUUAUCCUUUGUUGCCAGCGGUUAGGCCGGGAACUCAAAGGAGACUGCCAGUGAUAAACUGGAGGAAGGUGGGGAUGACGUCAAGUCAUCAUGGCCCUUACGACCAGGGCUACACACGUGCUACAAUGGCAUAUACAAGAGAAGCGACCUCGCGAGAGCAAGCGGACCUCAUAAAGUAUGUCGUAGUCCGGAUUGGAGUCUGCAACUCGACUCCAUGAAGUCGGAAUCGCUAGUAAUCGUAGAUCAGAAUGCUACGGUGAAUACGUUCCCGGGCCUUGUACACACCGCCCGUCACACCAUGGGAGUGGGUUGCAAAAGAAGUAGGUAGCUUAACCUUCGGGAGGGCGCUUACCACUUUGUGAUUCAUGACUGGGGUGAAGUCGUAACAAGGUAACCGUAGGGGAACCUGCGGUUGGAUCACCU
rnacentral:rRNA from 1 species